CUCCCUGCUCGCAACUGUGGUCAGUCAUCUUCUCUGACGAAGGCUUGCUGUCGGCGACCUCUCCUCCUUGUUCCACUCCUUCACGCGCCGUCGCUGGCCUCUGAUCCACCGCCGGAAGCCAGGGCGAGGGCCUUCAGAGCCUCCUGCCCCAUCCUCUGUCAUCACGCGCCUCAUCCUCCUUCGCGAGCGCCGCCGCCGCCGCUGCCAAAGCCACUGGCUUCCCUCCUCCAUCUCAUCUUAUGGUCGAUCUCCGGCGUUCUGAUGGCCAAGGAGUUCCGGGAGCCAACUCCUCAUUCAAAUCGCGAGUCUCUCGUCGCAAACCCACAGGAAAAAUCGAAAUCACCCCCUGGGUCCAACUUCUCCGUCGCCGUCAUCUGGGAAUACUAGGUUUUUUGGAAGAGAACUCAUACCUCCAUAUUUUGAAUGGUUACGGGCCU
rnacentral:lncRNA from 1 species